CGGGGUGUAGCGCAGUCUGGUAGCGCGCCUGCUUUGGGAGCAGGAUGUCGGGAGUUCGAAUCUCUUCACCCCGA
rnacentral:tRNA from 1 species